rnacentral:rRNA from 1 species
UGAGGAAUAUUGGUCAAUGGGCGGAAGCCUGAACCAGCCAAGUCGCGUGAGGGAAGAAGGCCCUGCGGGUCGCAGACCUCUUUGGGACGGGGAGCAAGGCCGCGGACGUGUCCGCGGAAGGAGAGUACCCGUAGAACAAGCAUCGGCUAACUCCGUGCC